UUUCAGUUACCUCUUCAUUAAAGCUACAGUGUGUGGGAUUUAGGAGUGUUUAUGAGCAGAAAUGGAACAUAGCAUUCACAAGCACCUGUUCAUUAGUGUAUAAAUUACCU